AAGAAGUCAGGCCGGAUUAAGCCAUAGUACGGCAAGAGCUAUGCUGCCUGUGAGCCCCGUCUAAGGACGUAAAAUGAAGUCAGGCCGAAAGCCACGGUUUGAGCAAACCGUGCUGCCUGUAGCUCCAUCGUGGGGAUGUAAAAACCUGGGAGGCUGCAACCCAUGGAAGCUGUACGCAUGGGGUAGCAGACUAAGUGGUUAGAGAA
rnacentral:lncRNA from 1 species